rnacentral:rRNA from 1 species
GACGAACGCUGGCGGCGUGCCUAAUACAUGCAAGUUGAGCGCUGAAGGUUGGUACUUGUACCAACUGGAUGAGCAGCGAACGGGUGAGUAACGCGUGGGGAAUCUGCCUUUGAGCGGGGGACAACAUUUGGAAACGAAUGCUAAUACCGCAUAAAAACUUUAAACACAAGUUUUAAGUUUGAAAGAUGCAAUUGCAUCACUCAAAGAUGAUCCCGCGUUGUAUUAGCUAGUUGGUGAGGUAAAGGCUCACCAAGGCGAUGAUACAUAGCCGACCUGAGAGGGUGAUCGGCCACAUUGGGACUGAGACACGGCCCAAACUCCUACGGGAGGCAGCAGUAGGGAAUCUUCGGCAAGAGACGAAAGUCUGACCGAGCAACGCCGCGUGAGUGAAGAAGGUUUUCGGAUCGUAAAGCUCUGUUGGUAGAGAAGAACGUUGGUGAGAGUGGAAAGCUCAUCAAGUGACGGUAACUACCCAGAAAGGGACGGCUAACUACGUG